AGUGAACGCUGGCGGCAGGCCUAACACAUGCAAGUCGAGCGGCAGCGCGGGGGCAACCCUGGCGGCGAGCGGCGGACGGGUGAGGAAUUCGUCGGAAUCUGCCUUUUUGUGGGGGAUAACGUAGGGAAACUUACGCUAAUACCGCAUACGUCCUACGGGAGAAAGUGGGGGACCGCAAGGCCUCACGCAGAAAGAUGAGCCGACGACCGAUUAGCUAGUUGGUGGGGUAAAGGCCCACCAAGGCGACGAUCGGUAGCUGGUCUGAGAGGAUGAUCAGCCACACUGGGACUGAGACACGGCCCAGACUACUACGGGAGGCAGCAGUGGGGAAUAUUGGACAAUGGGCGCAAGCCUGAUCCAGCCAUGCCGCGUGUGUGAAGAAGGCCUUCGGGUUGUAAAGCACUUUUGUCCGGAAAGAAAUCCCUGGAGCUAAUACCUUCGGGGGAUGACGGUACCGGAAGAAUAAGCACCGGCUAACUUCGUG
rnacentral:rRNA from 1 species